rnacentral:rRNA from 1 species
AGUGAACGCUGGCGGCAGGCCUAAUACAUGCAAGUCGAACGGCAGCACAGCAGAGCUUGCUCUGUGGGUGGCGAGUGGCGGACGGGUGAGGAAUACAUGGGAAUCUGCCCAGUCGUGGGGGAUAACGUAUGGAAACGUACGCUAAUACCGCAUGCGCCCUACGGGGGAAAGUCGGGGACCGCAAGGCCUGACGCGAUUGGAUGAGCCCAUGUUCGAUUAGCUAGUUGGCGGGGUAAAGGCCCACCAAGGCGACGAUCGAUAGCUGGUCUGAGAGGAUGAUCAGCCACACUGGAACUGAGACACGGUCCAGACCCCUACGGGAGGCAGCAGUAGGGAAUAUUGGACAAUGGGGGCAACCCUGAUCCAGCCAUGCCGCGUGAGUGAAGAAGGCCCUCGGGUUGUAAAGCUCUUUUGUCCGGAAAGAAAAGCAAUCGGUUAAUACCCGGUUGUUCUGACGGUACCGGAAGAAUAAGCACCGGCUAACUUCGUGCCAGCAGCCG